rnacentral:rRNA from 1 species
GACGAACGCUGGCGGCGUGCUUAACACAUGCAAGUCGAACGGGCCUUGUCCCCUUUUUUUUGGGGGUGGGGUUAGUGGCGAACGGGUGAGUAACACGUGAGUAACCUGCCCCUCACUUCUGGAUAACCGCUUGAAAGGGUGGCUAAUACGGGGUGUUCUGGCCUGCUCGCAUGGGUGGGUUUGGAAAGAUUCGACCGGUUUUGGUUGUUUUGGUGGGGGAUGGGCUCGCGGCCUAUCAGCUUGUUGGUGGGUGAUGGCCUGCCAAGGCUUUGACGGGUAGCCGGCCUGAGAGGGUGGGCGGUCACACUGGGACUGAGACACGGCCCAGACUCCUACGGGAGGCAGCAGUGGGGAAUAUUGCACAAUGGGCGCAAGCCUGAUGCAGCGACGCCGCGUGAGGGAUGGAGGCCUUCGGGUUGUGAACCUCUUUCGCCAGUGAAGAAGGUCCUGCUCUUUGUGGUGGGGUUGACGGUAGCUGGGUUAAUGAAGCGCCGGCUAACUACGUG